GUCCCAGUUCGGAUCGCAGGCUGCAACCCGCCUGCGUGAAGUCGGAAUCGCUAGUAAUCGCGGAUCAGCAUGCCGCGGUGAAUACGUUCCCGGGCCUUGUACACACCGCCCGUCACACCAUGAGAGUCGGGAACACCCGAAGCCCGUAGCCUAACAGCAAUGAGGGCGCGGUCGAAGGUGGGUUCGAUAAUUGGGGUGAAGUCGUAACAAGGUAUC
rnacentral:rRNA from 1 species